rnacentral:rRNA from 2 species
CUCCAUGAAGUCGGAAUCGCUAGUAAUCGUGGAUCAGAAUGCCACGGUGAAUACGUUCCCGGGCCUUGUACACACCGCCCGUCACACCAUGGGAGUGGGUUGCAAAAGAAGUAGGUAGCUUAACCUUCGGGAGGGCGCUUACCACUUUGUGAUUCAUGACUGGGGUGAAGUCGUAACAAGGUAACCGUAGGGGAACCUGCGGUUGGAUCACCUCCUUACCUUAAAGAAGC